AAAAGAGAAGAAACGCUUUCCGGAAGAGAAGUUCAUCAGACGAGCAGGAGCGUUGACUUUGUCCAGUCAUCAAGUUUAGCUGUGAGUAAUGUCUAAUAUCCUCAUAUCUUUAGUUAUAAUUUUAGAGAGAUGUAAAAAGACUUGACGGAUAUCUUAUUCAACCCGCUGAGAUGAGAAGAAAAUGAGCGGAAACGCCGCUUCAGUACUGAUCUGUAGCGCACGCGGGUCUGUGCGCAAGGAGCUUAUGAUAGCACAGAACUUAAGUCUGAUAGAAAGACAAAACAACUGGUUUAAUGCUGUUUUUACUACACUUUUACUAUAAUAAAACAAAUUAUAAUUAUAACAAUAAUUAUAUGUAUAUGACAACCCUGUGUACAGAUGCAUUUAAUUCUGCUAUGGCUCAGCAAUUUGUUAUAAGCAGAUCUGUAGAAAUUAGUUAUGUCAUUGUCCAGCUCAGUUCAGUUCUCAUUAGCAUCAGUACAUAAUUUAUAAUAAUGAAUGAACAAAACUGCACUGAAUAUACUGUGUAUGUGUUUGUUUGUUUCAUGGCAUCAACCCCUAAUUGACAUGAGGAAAAAGUAACAGAGUACAGUGUAACAGAGGAAGCAUUGGGAAAGAGGAGAAGAGAGAAAGUGAAAAGGCUCUGAACAGAUGUUGGAAAAUGCACUGGUAACAACUAAAAAAAGACGACCAAAAAUAUAAUUCAACAGAAGAUGAUGGCUGUGGUGAAACAAGCACUCAAAUCAUGAAACUAAGACCAGUGGGAGUGCUGGAGAAAUCAAGUGUACCAUGUCCUCUGUUGUCUCAGCCAUGGAAGAGAUCUUCAGAUAUGAAGAGAUCGAGAAAUUAAAUUAAAUCAAGGAGGAUUUACAAUAUUAGUGCCAAUUCAGUAUGAAAACAGAGAGAGAGCUGAGGGAAUGGAAAGGUGUGCAUUAAAACAAUGAAUGCAGAUAAUUACAAUUAUGGACUAUUAAUGGAGGAACAGAAAGCUCUGAGAUUUGAUUAUAAAGGUUUUCAUUUGUGUCCUGAAGAUGAAUGAAAGACUUGUGGAUUUGGAACGUCAUGAGGACUACAUCCAAAAUAGUGUUUCCACAUCUGAGAUGAAGGCAGUCAUAAGAACCAAGCGGAACGAUGAGGAUAAGCUCUUCAAAAAAUAAAACCUGUCUGAAUAAUGUGGGAAGAAAUGUGCAUGAUUGUGUGAUUUGUAAAUAUACACUAAAUACAUUUAGUGUAACUC